UAUAUUCUUUUAUAACAAAAGUAAGAUCUGAGUCUGUGUCUCUCCACCUUCAAACCCAAAAUCGAUAUCUUCCUAUGUGCAUCUCAGAUCCGUUUCUUACAACCCAAAUUCUUCUCUUUUAGCUCUUCCUUUCAGAAACAACAGUUGCCUCCGGCUUCGUCUCUUUCUCACCGGCGCUGCUUGAUGUGAGUGAGAAUUCAGCAACACUUCAUCACUCAAUCAAUCUCUCUCGAAAUUGAUAUUUUUUUUUUCUCGACGACCGCUUCCCAAUAUCCAAAAUCGAUCUCCGUCUCUAUCCCAACAUACGAGAAACCAAUUCGGUUUCGGAUCUGAAUAUCAUCUUCAGAUCGAGAAGAGAAACUGGUUACCGUCGGAGAAGGUGGGUCGUGCCUAGAAUCAAACGGUGGUGAUGCUACAGCUGUAGCCACGAAGCCCAGAGGAGAUGGAGAGGAGAUGGAGAGGACCCGGAGCAACCAAAUCUUUGAGCUGUGUUAAAUCUGCUAUUGUUAGGGAAAAGCCUAAUGUUAAGCUUGAAAGUGCUAAACAAGCGUUGAAGGAAGCUGUGAUUUUGCCUGUCAAGUUCCCACAGUUUUUCACCGGUGAAUGUUCCUACUUUCAGUUUUCAAAUUGAUGUGAAUUAGUGGUGAGGACUGCGAGGAAUCUGAUUGUGGUGACAGUUGAGUUCAAGGAGACCAUGUAAGUCACUUACCUAUCUCGUGCUACUUACAUUUUUUAACUUUGCUAGGGCGGAUAAUGAGCAAGCCAUCUUCCGCUUGAAAGCUUUUAUUCUAUGAACUACACAUUGGUGAUUAUAAUGUCGAAAUUAUGGCUGAUAUAAGUUUGUCAAAAGUUGGAAUCCAAGAAGAUAACAACAUACAAAGAGAGAGAAGAAACAACUAUUAGCGAUGUUGGAGGUGUAUACAGAGAGAAGAAGGAACAACCAUUUUAAUAUUGGUACAAAAGCUGUAGCUGUUGGUCAAACAAUGCAAUAGCUUCGGUUAGAGCAAAGCCCAUGGAUGGCAAGGCAUAGUUGAACAUUGGGUGUUUCUAUAUAUGUGGUAAUACCUAUUUGUUUUAUUGCUCAUCUACAAGAGGGAACUUAGAGUAGAGGAACAGUUCUUCAGACGUGUGUACGGCUUUUGAUGGGAAGGCGAUAGAGGAGAAGAGACUUAAGAGAUCGAAGUUUGUCUCUAUCAUUAUAAGUUAUAAUGUUAGCUUUUUGGAUAAAACAGGGCAGCAUAUUAUAAGACUUCGUAUGAUAUGUAAGACUUGCUUAUAUUAACGUUAUGUUAUGUAUGUUGAUGAUUUAUGAAAUAAUUUUUUU